rnacentral:rRNA from 1 species
GGGCGUAAAGAGCUCGUAGGCGGUUUGUCGCGUCUGCUGUGAAAUCCGGAGGCUCAACCUCCGGCCUGCAGUGGGUACGGGCAGACUAGAGUGCGGUAGGGGAGAUUGGAAUUCCUGGUGUAGCGGUGGAAUGCGCAGAUAUCAGGAGGAACACCGAUGGCGAAGGCAGAUCUCUGGGCCGUAACUGACGCUGAGGAGCGAAAGGGUGGGGAGCAAACAGGCUUAGAUACCCUGGUAGUCCACCCCGUAAACGUUGGGAACUAGUUGUGGGGUCCAUUCCACGGAUUCCGUGACGCAGCUAACGCAUUAAGUUCCCCGCCUGGGGAGUACGGCCGCAAGGCUAAAACUCAAAGGAAUUGACGGGGACCCGCACAAGCGGCGGAGCAUGCGGAUUAAUUCGAUGCAACGCGAAGAACCUUACCAAGGCUUGACAUAUACGAGAACGGGCCAGAAAUGGUCAACUCUUUGGACACUCGUAAACAGGUGGUGCAUGGUUGUCGUCAGCUCGUGUCGUGAGAUGUUGGGUUAAGUCCCGCAACGAGCGCAACCCUCGUUCUAUGUUGCCAGCACGUAAUGGUGGGAACUCAUGGGAUACUGCCGGGGUCAACUCGGAGGAAGGUGGGGAUGACGUCAAAUCAUCAUGCCCCUUAUGUCUUGGGCUUCACGCAUGCUACAAUGGCCGGUACAAAGGGCUGCAUACCGCGAGGUGGAGCGAAUCCCAAAAGCCGGUCCCAGUUCGGAUUGAGGUCUGCAACUCGACCUCAUGAAGUCGGAGUCGCUAGUAAUCGCAGAUCAGCACGCUGCGGUGAAUACGUUCCCGGGUCUUGUACCCACCGCCCGUCAAGUCAUGAAAGUCGUAACACCUGAAGCCGGUGGCCUAACCC